rnacentral:rRNA from 1 species
CGCAAUGGGCGAAAGCCUGACGGAGCAAUACCGCGUGGGGGAGGAAGGCUCUUGGGUUGUAAACUCCUUUUCUCAGGGAAGAAGGUCUGACGGUACCUGAGGAAUCAGCAUCGGCUAACUCCGUGCCAGCAGCCGCGGUAAUACGGAGGAUGCAAGCGUUAUCCGGAAUCAUUGGGCGUAAAGCGUCCGUAGGUGGCAUUUCAAGUCUGCUGUCAAAGGUCGGGGCUUAACUCCGAACAGGCAGUGGAAACUGAGAAGCUAGAGUAUGGUAGGGGCAGAGGGAAUUCCUGGUGUAGCGGUGAAAUGCGUAGAGAUCAGGAAGAACACCGGUGGCGAAAGCGCUCUGCUAGGCCAUAACUGACACUCAGGGACGAAAGCUAGGGGAGCGAAUGGGAUUAGAUACC